rnacentral:ribozyme from 14 species
UAGAAAAACAGAUACACAGAGAGAUUCGUAAAACCUCUCAGUUUCGAUUUCUUUCUUUUCUUUUCUUUUCUUUUCUUUUUUCUUUC